AAAAAAAACUGAACAUUAACCCAAUGGAUCGCUAGAGGGCACCAAGUACUCUUGUCUGGAAUAAUUCCGAUAGUCCGGAAAGGCAUCAUUUUAAAAUGAAUGAAACCGCGCCCCCUCUGCUUGGUCAUUACUCGAGCGACGACAAACAGCGAGAUCGAUUACAAAACGUCAUUUUUCAGCGACAGCUAAACAAAUCAACGCCGUUGUUUUGGUAUUUUUAUGCACUUGACGGGAAUUUUGUAAAUGUAAGAUUUCUGUUUCUGCAGUUUCAAAAUUAAUGUCUUCCGAAGAAUGUUCGAUGUUGCUGAUUCGAGAAUGUAUGGAAAUUGAAGACAAAGCUGGGAGAAAAAAAGGCGAUGUUGUCUUGAUUAUUUCUAUGUGUUGCUUUGUUCGUUAUUUCUUUUUUUGAAAACUGUAUAAUUGUGCUUUAGUUUUUCACGAGUUGCCGUUUUAUUGUCUCCUCUUAUUUUUAAGCAUGUUGGAAAUAAAUUGGACCAAAAAUACCCAGAAGUGAAAGCUCCACCUGAACCGGAAACGAGGGAAUGCUUGGGCUCACUGGCGCGAUUGCUUAAACGUUGUCUGGUGUGUUUGAAAAGCAUGAGUUCGCAGUUAGUUAAUUCGCUCGAGCACGAAAUGUGUCCUUGUUCAUUGUUGACACGCACGUAGGGGACCACAAUGAAAGAACGUCGUCUCGGCGCUGGCUGCUGUCCAUCCAAAUCAGCUGCGGACAUUUUGUCACAGGAACGGAGUUUUGGAUCAGCAGAUGGAAGUUUCAUUUGGACGUGUUGAGAUCACAGGCAAGCUGAUCAAACUGCCCCAAUGCCAUCACUGUUUGGGCGACAAAGUCAUCCCAGCUUUUCUCCUCAAUAAAUUGUCCAAGUUGAAGUGCA